CUCCAGGCAAGAAUACUGAAGUGUGCAAACAGCAGCCUCCUUGGUAGUGUAUGCAACCUGUUGCCUGUACAGGUAGCCCUAAGGGACCUUGGAGACAACU
rnacentral:snoRNA from 1 species